rnacentral:rRNA from 1 species
AGCGUAUAUUAAAGUUGUUGCAGUUAAAAAGCUCGUAGUUGAAUUUCGGGAUCAAGUCGUCGGUCGUGCUCNGGUACGUACUGGCGUCAUUGAUUUCUCCCUUCUGACGAACCAUGAUGUCAUUAAUUUGGUGUUAUGGGAAAUCAGGACUGUUACUUUGAAAAAAUUAGAGUGUUUAAAGCAGGCUCACGCUUGAAUACAUUAGCAUGGAAUAAUGAAAUAGGACGUUCGAUCCUAUUUUGUUGGUUUUAGGAUCAACGUAAUGAUUAAUAGGGAUAGUUGGGGGCAUUAGUAUUCAAUUGUCAGAGGUGAAAUUCUUGGAUUUAUUGAAGACUAACUACUGCGAAAGCAUUUGCCAAGGAUGUUUUCAUUAAUCAAGAACGAAAGUUAGGGGAUCGAAGACGAUCAGAUACCGUCGUAGUCUUAACCAUAAACUAUGCCGACUAGGGAUCGGAUGAUGUUAAUUUUUUAAUGACUCAUUC